UACAGAGGGUGCUAGCGUUGUUCGGAAUCAUUGGGCGUAAAGGGCGUGUAGGCGGUUUGUUAAGUCAUGUGUGAAAUCCCUCGGCUCAACCGGGGAACGACGCAUGAAACUGGCAAGCUAGAGUACCAAAGAGGGGGGUGGAAUUCCCGGUGUAGCGGUGAAAUGCGUAGAGAUGUGGAGGAACACCGAUGGCGAAGGCAGCCUUCUGGGCCAACACUGACGCUCAUGCACGAAAGCGUGGGGAGCAAACAGG
rnacentral:rRNA from 1 species